AAGUCGUAACAAGGUUUCCGUAGGUGAACCUGCGGAAGGAUCAUUAUUGAAUACUAUUGAGCGCUGUGCUGGCCUUUCGGGGCAUGUGCACGCGUUCUAUAUUAUAUCUAUCUCUUGUGAACCUAGUGUGGGCUUUGGAUGAACAGUUUGGUCUUUGUGCCUUUCUGCGAGUCUGAAGACCAUUUUUUAUAAACAUUUAAAAAAGUCAACAGAAUGUCUUCUUUACUUGAUGCAAGUCGGUAAAAAAAUCUAUACAACUUUCAGCAACGGAUCUCUUGGCUCUCC
rnacentral:misc_RNA from 1 species